rnacentral:lncRNA from 1 species
AACAGAUUUCCUCACUAUUAGCAUAACUUUGGGCUGAUCAAAACAGUAGCCACUUGUAGCUAUUUAGUCCUUGAAGUAUGGCCAGCCCAAUUCAAGAUGCAGUUCAAACAAUAUAUUAUUUUAGCACCCAUUUAAACAAAUUGUUGAAUAUUUUGGAAAUUCACAAUAUGACAUAAAAUAGUCCAAUUAUUGUCACAUGGUUUCUUAGCAAUUACUUCCUUAAAGAGCACCCAGUUGCAGGCCAGGGCAUAUGUCCUUUACUUUUUGGCAAAAUAAACAUCCUAAAUUGACUGAGACCUGUCUCAGAUAUUUGGGGUUCACACUGGAUACUUUAUAUACAUUCAUCCACACAGGCCGUUGUAUAAGCAAUAUUAUCCUUGACCACAGGAAUUGUUAACAGUGUUAGUGUCUCCCUCCAGGGUUUUCCUGGCCUUUCAGCGAUUUGGUGAGCUUGGGUAGAAUAGCCUGGUCUACCCCUGCAGAGACCCACUCAACCUCAUCACUAGACAGGAGUGAAAACCAGAGUCAGUACUCUUACUGAUGUCAGAAUCAAAUUGGAGAGAGAUUCUGGAGUCCGGCAUGUAAGAAAACAUUUAAGAAAUCCUAUACCUCAACACACAAUGCUCAAGAAGUUGGGAGAUUCCAAGAACAAUUUCACUCAGAGGUUGGCGGUAUUUGGCAAAGAAUGACAGCAGUCUUGCACUGAGUACUUUACAGAGCACAGACCCACACUGCUUCAGCUCACUUCCUCUCCUCAGAUUCCCGAGAGAGGAGGCUCAAGAACUCUUACCAUGUCCAUUUGACAGAGGAUGAAGCUAAGGCUCAAAGAAGGUAAGG